rnacentral:rRNA from 1 species
ACUCCUACGGGAGGCAGCAGUGGGGAAUUUUGCGCAAUGGGGGAAACCCUGACGCAGCAACGCCGCGUGAGUGAUGAAGGCCCUUGGGUCGUAAAGCUCUGACAGAGGGAAAGAAGUGCAGGGUGGCUAAUAUCCAUCUUACUUGACGGUACCCUCAAAGGAAGCACCGGCUAACUCCGUGCCAGCAGCCGCGGUAAUACGGGGGGUGCAAGCGUUGUUCGGAUUUAUUGGGCGUAAAGCGCGUGUAGGCGGUUUUAUAAGUCUGAUGUGAAAGCCCUGGGCUCAACCCGGGAAGUGCAUUGGAUACUGUAAGACUUGAAUACGGGAGAGGGCAGUGGAAUUCCUAGUGUAGGAGUGAAAUCCGUAGAUAUUGGGAGGAACACCGGUGGCGAAGGCGGCUGCCUGGACCGAUACUGACGCUGAGACGCGAAAGCGUGGGGAGCAAACAGGAUUAGAUACCCUGGUAGUCCACGCCGUAAACGAUGAGAACUAGGUGUUGCGGGUA